rnacentral:lncRNA from 1 species
UCAACCCUUCAGUCCUCAGGCCAUCGGCCGGUCAUCGGACGGUCGCCGGCCACCGUACCGGCCGCCGAUCUCUCUGGCGCCGGCACCACCGUCGACGGUGGCCGAAAAAAGGGAAAAUCUCCCUUUUAACCUUCUCAACAUCCUUAUGCCCGAAUCCGGGCUUGAAUCGUGCGAAAUGAAAACGAAAGAGCCCCUAAAAGCAGAGAAACCUUUCGGCUUCCGGUCGUCAAUCCUCGGUGACGACUUCCUCGGCCAUCCACGGUGGCUAGGGCUCUAAAACAGGUUUUUUCCUUCCUUUUAUAUUUAUAUUAUUUAUAUAAAUAAUACAAUAAAUAGAUAUAAUCGAAAAAAAUAAAAUAGAAACGCAAGUAACAACCUUUAUUCGCUUAUGCCUCUGUUUGUGAUAAAAAAAUAGAGCCUUUUUUGAUUGAUUUCCAAAAAAAAUCCCCCUCUUACAAUGUAUUUAAUCUCCCUUUAUAGUCGAAUGAAAAUAAAGCAAAGAAGGAAUAAAUCUGGUCAUAUCUUUGAUUCUAUGAUUUUUCCAUAUAUUGUUUGAUUUCCUUCCUUGUUUUGCAGGUGAAGAUCGGGGAGAUUCGGCCUUGGCUUGGUCUUGCGGCGCUGUUGAAGAUUAGAAACCCUAGGGUUUCAUUAUCCGUCUUGGGCCUCUGUAUUCGGGCCUUUGUUUGUUUUAGUUUGGGCCUUGUGGCCCAUUGGUAAUUCUGGUUUUUAAACCCGGGCAAGAUUGGGUAUUUA